rnacentral:rRNA from 1 species
AAUGAACGCUGGCGGCGCGCCUAAUACAUGCAAGUCGAGCGAGAAGACGUAGCAAUACGUUUGUAAAGCGGCGAACGGGUGAGGAAUACAUGGGUAACCUACCCUCGAGUGGGGAAUAACUAGCCGAAAGGUUAGCUAAUACCGCGUACGCUUCUUGGACUUCGGUUCAGGGAGGAAAGCGAUACCGUGGGUAUCGCGCUCUUGGAUGGGCUCAUGUCCUAUCAGCUUGUUGGUGGGAACGG